rnacentral:rRNA from 1 species
CCCUUCGGGGAAGGAUUAGCGGCGAACGGGUGAGGAACACGUGAGGAAUCUGCCUUCAACACUGGGAUAACUCCGGGAAACCGGGGCUAAUACCGGAUACGAAACUCGGUGGCAUCACUGAGUUUGGAAAGUUUUUCGGUUGAAGAUGACCUCGCGGCCUAUCAGCUUGUUGGUGAGGUAAUGGCUCACCAAGGCGACGACGGGUAGCCGGCCUGAGAGGGCGACCGGCCACACUGGGACUGAGACACGGCCCAGACUCCUACGGGAGGCAGCAGUGGGGAAUAUUGGGCAAUGGAGGAAACUCUGACCCAGCGACGCCGCGUGCGGGAUGAAGGCCUUCGGGUUGUAAACCGCUUUCAGCAGGGAAGAAGCGAAAGUGACGGUACCUGCAGAAGAAGCACCGGCUAACUAUGUGCCAGCAGCCGCGGUAAUACAUAGGGUGCAAGCGUUGUCCGGAAUUAUUGGGCGUAAAGAGCUCGUAGGUGGUUCGUCACGUCGGAUGUGAAAAUCUGGGGCUCAACCCCAGACCUGCAUUCGAUACGGGCGAUCUAGAGUGUGGUAGGGGAGACUGGAAUUCCUGGUGUAGCGGUGGAAUGCGCAGAUAUCAGGAGGAACACCAAUGGCGAAGGCAGGUCUCUGGGCCAUUACUGACACUGAGGAGCGAAAGCGUGGGGAGCGAACAGGAUUAGAUACCCUGGUAGUCCACGCCGUAAACGGUGGGCACUAGUUGUGGGAACCUUCCACGGUUUCUGCGACGCAGCUAACGCAUUAAGUG